GCUAAUAAUUUUGUAAAAAUAAAUUGAGGUUUUAUGUGUAUAUUUAAUUGUUAUUAGUU
rnacentral:tRNA from 1 species